rnacentral:rRNA from 1 species
GACAGAGGGUGCAAACGUUGUUCGGAAUUACUGGGCGUAAAGUGCGUGUAGGCGGCUAUGCAAGUCGGAUGUGAAAGCCCUCGGCUCAACCGGGGAAGUGCACCCGAAACUGCAAAGCUAGAGUCUCGGAGAGGAUCGUGGAAUUCUCGGUGUAGAGGUGAAAUUCGUAGAUAUCGAGAGGAACACCGGUGGCGAAGGCGGCAUCCUGGACCGACACUGACGCUGAGGAGCGAAAGCCAGGGGAGCAAACGGG